UACGAAGGGGGCUAGCGUUACUCGGAUUGACUGGGCGUAAAGGGCGCGUAGGCGGAUGGUACAGUCAGACGUGAAAUUCCUGGGCUCAACCUGGGGGCUGCGUUUGAUACGUGCUGUCUGGAGUUCGGAAGAGGGUCGUGGAAUUCCCAGUGUAGAGGUGAAAUUCGUAGAUAUUGGGAAGAACACCGGUGGCGAAGGCGGCGACCUGGUCCGAUACUGACGCUGAGGUGCGAAAGCGUGGGGAGCAAACAGG
rnacentral:rRNA from 1 species